GCUUGAAUGUUUGAUUGAUGCUUCAC
rnacentral:sRNA from 1 species